UUGAUUGUUUGAUUAUAUUUUAUUUAGGCUGCGUUUGGUUUGGUUGGGCUUCUGGAUGAUAUUGUUAUAUUUCUCUUCCUAUCUAUCUAUCUAACCACCAUUUUCAGAACUGUGAUGGCACAGCUAGGGCAGAACGCUGAACCUACAGGACUUACAAACUGAAUCAAAUACAAAACUGACAAAAUCAAUUAUCAGCCAAAUUGAUCAAUUAUCCACCUAAUCAGUCAACUAUCCACUGAAUUGAUCAACUAUCCGCCUCAUUGAUCCACUAUCCAUCUGAUUGAUUAACGAUCCGCCUAAUUGAUCAACUAUCCAUCUAAUUGAUCAACUUUCCACCUAAUUGAUCAAUUAUCCACAUAAAUGAUCAACUUUCCACCUAAAUUAUCAGAUAUCGACAACUUAUUGAACAACUAUCCACAUAAUUGAUAAACUAUCUGUCUAAUUGAUCAGUUAUCCGUCUAAUUGAACAAUUAUUCGCCUAAUCGAUAAAUUAUCCACCUAAUUGACCAACUAUUCACGUACCUUAUUGAUCAAAUAUCCACCUAAUUGAUCAAAUAUCCACCUAAUUGAUCAAAUAUCCGCCCAAUUGAUCAAUUAUCCGCCUAAUUAAUCAAUUAUUCGCCUAAUUGAUCAAUUAUCCGCCUAACUGACCAACUAUUUACCUAAUUUAUCAAAUAUCCACCUAAUUGAUCCACUGUCCGCCCAAUUGAUCAACUAUCAGUCUAAUUGGUCAACUAUUUACUAAAAUAUAGUAAUGUAAAUCACGCUAAAUUUACGCUAAAGUUCAAUUUACGGACGCUUUGUUUGGAAGUUUUCAGUGAAAGAAAAAAUCGAAAAUUCUAGUCAUACCAGUUAUGAUGUACACUAAAGAGUAUCCUCAAACUGUACAGUGUAAUGUGUACUGUGUACAUUUCACCUUUACCCCAAGAAGCUAGUUUUAAAUAAAUACUCACUGACAAACUAACACGAUUCAAAUUUUGUAUGUUUUUCAAUUAUUCAUGUCAACUUAUGUCACCUCGUAAUAUAAAAGUAUUUUUUCUAAAUUAUAUAGUUAAGAGAUUUUUUACCAACUAACGGUCCAACAAACAAAAAUAUCAAUAAAUAAUAUAUACAAAACAAA